UACGGAGGGUGCAAGCGUUGUUCGGAAUUACUGGGCAUAAAGGGCGCGUAGGCGGUAAUGUUAGUCAGAUGUGAAAUCCUUCGGCUUAACCGGAGAACUGCAUCUGAAACUGCAUAACUAGAGUACAGAAGAGGGAAACGGAAUUCCCGGUGUAGAGGUGAAAUUCGUAGAUAUCGGGAGGAACACCAGUGGCGAAGGCGGUUUCCUGGUCUGAUACUGACGCUGAGGCGCGAAAGCGUGGGAAGCAAACAGGAUUAGAUACCCUGGUAGUCCACGCUGUAAACGGUGAGUACUGGGUGUGGGAGGUGUAAUACCUUCCGUGCCGUAGUUAACGCGAUAAGUACUCCGCCUGGGAAGUACGGCCGCAAGGUUGAA
rnacentral:rRNA from 1 species